rfam:Camelus ferus unplaced genomic scaffold scaffold110, whole genome shotgun sequence.
GAAGGUAUAGCUCAGUGGGUAGAGCUCAUGCUUUGCAUGCACAAAGUCAUGGGUUCAAUCCCAAGUACCUCUG